ensembl:lncRNA
AUGGAGAGGCCUAAAUUUCAAGUCAGACUUGAAGCUGCUGUUGCACACAGGGAGCCUCUAACCUGGCCCAUCGCUCCCGAUGGCUACAUCCCCAACUCUGUGAUCCGCAGCCGGAGGAGGAAGGGCAAGAAACUUUGGGAUGACAGCUUCUUUCAUGGUCAACGAACGGAUGAAUGCACCACAGGUUACAAGCAGGAUAAAAUCACAGAUUAUUUAUGGUUCCAGACUGAAAAUGAGAAAGAAGGUGAGCUGAAAAGAAAGAAGAGCGGACCAGAAGAUGAGAGGACAAGGAAAGAAAGUAAAAAAAUAGGCUGGCAAGGACGUGACGAUACAAAGGAAGAAGAAACAGAGAAGAAGACAGAAAAGGAAGCUGAAAAAGCUCAAGAAAAGCUGGAGGUGAUGAGAAAGAAAAAAACUGAUGCAAAGAAAGAAAAUGGCAAAGACGAGACGGAGAAGUUUAUCCAGACUGCGAGUCCUGUGAACGAACAACCGAAACCCUCUGAGGACGCUAAUGUGGCGCCUCAAAAGCAAGCAGAUGAUCCAACAAAUGCUCCGGACUUCCUACCAACUUCCUGUGAUGAGAAGAGAAGCAAACCUGUGAGAGAGCUGAAGACAGAAAUGGAGCUCUGUGAAGUCAUUCCCAAAGAGCUGCAAAAUGAAACCUACUCCCCACUGGUGGCUCCAGAGGAUCCUCAACCACAACCAGAACCGUCACCAAUCAAGGAUCAAAGGUUCCUCCUUUUCUCACACAAAUAUGACAGCAUAGCUAACCGUGUGCAGGCUGGCCUCGACGACAGAGUGCUGGCCCUCUACAAGAACUUCAAAGUCUUCAGAAAGAACUUGCCACAUCUUGGAAAACUCUCUGUCCCCACUGAGCACCGUCCUUACCCUACACAGUCCCGCUGCUCUACACUUCAGGCUAAUGCUGCUGAGAGCAGUUUGAAAGGUGGACUGUAUAGCUCCCCUCCCCAUGUGCCCUCACAGUCCAUAGUUCAGGCCACUUGUCUGGGGGGAAGUCUAAGCAGUGACUUGGGUGGUGACCCAACAUUUAAUAGUACAGUGUCCACUGCUCAGAUUCAGGGCUGCACACAGCUGCCCCAAACCUCGGGACCAAGCAUGACUGAGUGGAGAACCAACCUGUACAAACUCAUCUCUGUGCAUGGAUUCCAGUCUGCACGGGCAGCACGCUUACACGCCUCAAAGCACGCACACACGUUUCCUACUGACGUGCAGCUUGUGACAGAUUUUCCCCCACUGCAGCCUCAGCUGGCAGCAGCACAUCAGAGGGUGGUUCAGAAGAUCAAGCUGAAAGACUCCGUGGAGACAGCCGGCGGUUGCUUCUACCGUAUCAUUCCAAUGGCUUCCCAGCACAACUUUCUCACUGCACAGCUCUGUGGGAAGGCCCGGUAUGGACUCCUGGAGUUUGAUUGGACGAGGGGAUGUGAUGAAGAAAGUGUGCUCAGGGUGUCAUCGCUCGAGUCGAGCGACCACAGAGCGGAAGAUUAAAACUGUGAUUGUCACAUUAAACGUUAACAUAAUAUGUGGUACAUUUGUCUUUGUCUAAAUGUUCACGCAGGCUGAUUUUGAUGCUGUUAGCUUGGUUCACUUUCUUUAUCCCUACUGAAAUGAAUCAACACAACUUGCUCAUUCCCACAGGAUACAUCCUAUGGACUAAUUGUGCUGCUUUUCCAUCAAACCCGAAUCUUCCACAGCAAACUCCCACCACAUGCAGACACCACAGAACGGCACUAUUUAUGUUUCCAAGACAAUAUAUUGGGAAGUUUUUGUCCGUUUGUCCUUGCACCAUCAGCAGGUACAUGCUCUGCUCUGGACUUACAUUCACAUCGUCAGUGACUGAAAACAGGACCUUAUAGGUGUGACAUUAUUAUCAAGUGCUACCAGAUAAAUAAAGGAAAUAUUAAGUCACAGAAUAACUUGACAUCCCUCAUAGGAUACAUGUUUGACAGAUUGUAGUCUAAUAAGUCAUUCACAGCAGUUUAAAUGUGGGCAGUCAUUUUUAGCCAAAUACCUAAAAUCCUUUUUUGGCACAACAGCAGAAAUACCGAGCGGAAGAUCGACAUGUAGAAAGUCAUCCAACAGGUGAAAGACAGAGAGCCUCAGGGACUAGACUGAACAUGGCUGCACUGCUUUUACACCCAAAUGUUCAAAAACUGCCAAACUGACAUUUUUUGGGUCUUCGGUGCACAAGAAGGUAAACUUGGUCCAUCCUCCUGACUGAAACGCUGUGACCGGCUCAGUUUGUCCACAUGUUCCAAAUUCUAAGUUACUUUUGAAUUGAAUUUAUUUAUUAUCAUUUAAUAAUGCCGCUGAGCUCUCAUACGAUAGUAGCACAUAGCAUGUUGGUGCUAAUCACAUGGUAGCACUUUAUGACAAUGUCACACUAUUAAGCAUUAGUCAGGUAUUAGUAAGCGCUUAAUUCAUCAUUUAUUUAUCAUGACUCCUCCUUAGUAUGUCAUUCAUAAAUACAGGCAUG